GGUUGAUUGAAUAAAAUAAACUUCUUCCAGAGAAUUAGCACAAGUACACUGGGGACUUGAGCAGCUUCUACAAAUGGCUGAGAAACGAAGCUGCAUGCCUGAUGAUACAAGUGCUUUUCAAGCUUGGAAAAAUGAAGAAAUAGACUGGAGUAAAAAGUGAUGGCUCAAUCCCCCAUAGUGCACUGGGGUUCCAAAGUGAGGUCUGGUGCAUAGGAUCUUAAGAGGAAGAGGGGAAAAAGGUAAAUUCAGUGUUUAACACUUAAUUGUCACCUGAAACCUUAAGUGCAAAUAUUUGCACCGUUUUCUGAAGCAGUGGACAGGUGCAUAAAGCUGUAUUAUAUAUAGAAAGCAAGUAGGUGACGUACAGUUGGGUCAUAGGAUAAUUACAAUGAAGGUUAUUUGCCUACUGUAUAUUUGUGUAUUUAGUGUAAUUACUUUGUAAAAUAGAGAACUGUAACUAUUUAGGUUGUACAGAUUGAAGUUUAGUUGUUUCAUUGGCUGAUCUGAAGAAGUUUGGAAAGUUUUUUUUUAUGCUACAUAAAUAAGAAUGCACCUACACAACUGUUCAGAAUUUGGCAGAUUUAUGCUGUUUGUGUAACUUCUGAAGUUCCCUGGCUGCUGGUUAUCUUGAAGUAAAUCUUUGUUCAUUGUAGUUUGGUUCAAGACAGGAAAAACCACUCCAAAAAAUUAUCAAACCCUGCUAGCAAAGAAUUUAAAAAAAAAAAAAAAAUUGGAUUUCCCAGUAUGGAUUUUUUGCAUAUGAUCUGUAUAGUAGUAUGCAUAUGUUUUUGUGCAUGUUCUCUAAACAGUUGUAUCACGUCAAUGUAUUUAACUAUUGCACUUGUCAACUUUCAAUAAAGCAUACAAUGUUGAUAAA